AACGCGAAGAACCUUACCUGGGCUUGACAUCCUCUGGAUACAGUAGAGAUAUUGUCGGCUCGCAAGAGACAGAGAGACAGGUGCUGCAUGGCUGUCGUCAGCUCGUGUCGUGAGAUGUUGGGUUAAGUCCCGCAACGAGCGCAACCCUUAUCCUUAGUUGCCACCAGUGAGAUGGGAACUCUAAGGAGACCGCCGGUGAUAAACCGGAGGAAGGUGGGGAUGACGUCAAGUCCUCAUGGCCCUUAUGUCCAGGGCAACACACGUACUACAAUGGCCGAAACAAAGUGAUGCGAAACCGCAAGGUGGAGCCAAUCGCAAAAACACGGUCUCAGUUCGGAUUGUGGUCUGCAACUCGACCACAUGAAGUUGGAAUCGCUAGUAAUCGGAGAUCAGCAAGCUCCGGUGAAUACGUUCCCGGGCCUUGUACACACCGACUGUAC
rnacentral:rRNA from 1 species